GUAGUUAGGCGCCAGAGUUAGCGUUGUGAGUGACUUCGGCCAAAGUCAAGGAAGUAAGGGCAAGACCCCCAUGUACGACUGGCAGUGAACGUUGCGAAGGCCAUGGAAGUCUUAGGGAAGGCUUGUAGUGUCGUAGGCGUCUUGUUUGGACUCUCUCCGAUGAUAGUUAUUGCAAUUAUUUCUUCUAGUUAUCUGUUGAUUAUUUCUUAGUUAGGCUGUCGUUAUUGUUUUUCCCCAGGUAUGAACUACUUAUAAUAAUGAAUGUAUUGUGACUGUCUUACAUAAACUAUCGUUCUUUCGUUA